rnacentral:rRNA from 1 species
AGUGAACGCUGGCGGUAGGCCUAACACAUGCAAGUCGAACGGCAGCACAGUAAGAGCUUGCUCUUACGGGUGGCGAGUGGCGGACGGGUGAGGAAUACAUCGGAAUCUACUUUUUCGUGGGGAGUAACGUAGGGAAACUUACGCUAAUACCGCAUACGACCUACGGGUGAAAGCAGGGGAUCUUCGGACCUUGCGCGAUUGAAUGAGCCGAUGUCGGAUUAGCUAGUUGGCGGGGUAAAGGCCCACCAAGGCGACGAUCCGUAGCUGGUCUGAGAGGAUGAUCAGCCACACUGGAACUGAGACACGGUCCAGACUCCUACGGGAGGCAGCAGUGGGGAAUAUUGGACAAUGGGCGCAAGCCUGAUCCAGCCAUACCGCGUGGGUGAAGAAGGCCUUCGGGUUGUAAAGCCCUUUUGUUGGGAAAGAAAAGCAGCAGGUUAAUACCCCGCUGUUCUGACGGUACCCAAAGAAUAAGCACCGGCUAACUUCGUG